UUUAGGAACCAAUGAUGUAUUUAUUCCAAAUGUCUGAACCUGUCUGAAGCAUCCCAGGGAUGCAGCCUCUGUGUGGUGCUGAGGCUCCUCUGCCA
ensembl:snoRNA